UAUCUUGGGAGGUUUGGGGGAUCAACAUUUACAUUCCUCUAGGCAGAAUACCUGCAGAGUGAAGAAGAACCAAUAAAAGGAUGCAGCAAGAGAUGGUGGUCAAAUUUACUUAGUAGGAGAAAGAAGCUUAUUCCCUAUCACCUUCCUUCUUAUUCUCAUUUCUAAAGACAGGAACAGCAGAAGAUGGAAAGUCUAAAGUGGUUGCUCAUCUUUGUGUCAGAGGUUCUUCACAUCUCAGAAGGGACAUUGGGCUGUAGCAUUGCAUGGAAGUUGCCUUGGAUUGACACAUAUGGAGGCUAUUGAUUUGAGGCAUGGGGAAGCCCUUUGGGGCAUAUGGAAGACAUCUAGCUGGUCCUCUAAUCACCCCUGCCCCCUUAGGGACACACUGGUCCCAACAGGAAAUGGAAGGCAUAUGGCUUAUAUACACAGGAACUUGGCUCCUCUUCUCACCUGAGGAGGCUGAGAAAGAAAUAAUAGCAAAAAAGCAGUAAAUUAUGCUUUAUGCAGGGUGAAAAGAUUUUAGGAAACACAUUAGGGCUAUUCUAUUCACCUGUUAAUAAAUUUUAAGCAUGAGGUAAUUGAUUAAAAAAACAAAAAGAUUUUAUAUAUAUCGGAAACAUCGGAAACAAAAAACAAAAGACUGUAUGGUGUAAUAGCAAAAGCUCCAAGCAACACUCAUAAUAGGAUCACAGCCGGGACAUUUAUCUAUAUGAAGUCAUCAUGGAUAAAGCCCUUUGCCUAGUUGUGCUUCCAUUUCCUGAUCCAUAAAAGGGGCAGGACAUUACUGCUGCCCCACAGAAGUUGGUGAUGAAAUGAUUAUACAAACCAUGAAUAAGAGAAAUGCCCAGAACAUCGAUUGAAAGAAUGGGAACAACUAAGAACACUUGGAAACACCGUGGUCACGCCCUCCCUGACUUCUCAAGAAGAGAGGUGAAAACACCAAAAAGGAGGUCAUCAUGCCCUCCCUGACUUCUCAGGAAGACUAGGGGUGAAGCUGAGGAAGAUUGGUAUGGAAAAUAAACAAACAAAAAAAGAUCGACCCCAAAUCAUCUUUGUUCUGGGCUUCAUUCAGACAUGACAGCAUCUGACAACGGGAUGAGCAAAUCGAUUCCUCAUUGCUGAGAAAGUAAGCCUAAUUCUGACAAGGAUAAUGAGAGAACUCUUAACUGUCAAAAAGAAGUAAUUGGGAGUCAGUGAUAAUUUUUCAAGUCUGGAAUGCAGAACACCUGAACAGAAAAUAAAUGAGUGGAUGAAAAGAUUUUUUGGCCGGAUGCAUAGUAAAACAUGACUUCAAAACUUCAGCAGUCAAAGAAAUGGAAGAUAUGUAAUUUGAAUCAGAAGUACCUGAGAAGAACUCAAAUCACUGGGGAAAUUUGAAGAAAAUUGUGAAAGACUGAAACCAAAGAAUGACUGACUCCCUAUGCAGAGUAACUGAG
rnacentral:lncRNA from 1 species